rnacentral:rRNA from 1 species
GACAGAGGGUGCAAACGUUGUUCGGAAUUACUGGGCGUAAAGCGCGCGUAGGCGGUUAUCUAAGUCGGAUGUGAAAGCCCUCGGCUUAACUGAGGAAGUGCAUCCGAAACUGAAUAGCUAGAGUACGAAAGAGGGUCGCGGAAUUCCCGGUGUAGAGGUGAAAUUCGUAGAUAUCGGGAGGAACACCGGUGGCGAAGGCGGCGACCUGGGUCGAGACUGACGCUGAGGCGCGAAAGCGUGGGGAGCAAACAGG